rnacentral:rRNA from 1 species
UACGUAGGUGGCAAGCGUUGUCCGGAUUUACUGGGCGUAAAGAGCGCGCAGGCGGUCGAUUUAGUCGCGUGUGAAAGCCCCCGGCUCAACUGGGGAGGGUCACGCGAUACUGUUCGACUCGAAGGCAGGAGAGGGAAGCGGAAUUCCCGGUGUAGUGGUGAAAUGCGUAGAUAUCGGGAGGAACACCAGUGGCGAAGGCGGCUUCCUGGCCUGUUCUUGACGCUGAGGCGCGAAAGCUAGGGUAGCAAACGGG